AUUCCAUGAUUUGGACACUUUCGAAGCAUAUCCUUGAACCUCUCCCAAGCUUCAUGAAAGCUCUCAAAGUCGGAUUGUUGGAAAGUGGCUAUGGCAUGCUUGAGUUU
rnacentral:snoRNA from 1 species